rnacentral:rRNA from 1 species
UACAGAGGUCCCAAGCGUUGUUCGGAUUUACUGGGCGUAAAGGGUGCGUAGGUGGCGAGGUAAGUUCGAUGUGAAAUCUCCGAGCUCAACUCGGAAAUGGCAUUGAAUACUAUCCCGCUUGAGGGUCGGAGGGGAGACUGGAAUUCUCGGUGUAGCAGUGAAAUGCGUAGAUAUCGAGAGGAACACCAGUGGCGAAGGCGAGUCUCUGGACGACUCCUGACACUGAGGCACGAAAGCUGGGGGAGCAAGCAGG